UACGAAGGGGGCUAGCGUUGUUCGGAUUUACUGGGCGUAAGGCGCACGUAGGCGGAUCUUUAAGUCAGAGGUGAAAUCCCAAGGCUCAACCUUGGAACGCCUUUGAUACUGGGGAUCUUGAGUCCGGGAGAGGUGAGUGGAACUGCGAGUGUAGAGGUGAAAUUCGUAGAUAUUCGCAAGAACACCAGUGGCGAAGGCGGCUCACUGGCCCGGUACUGACGCUGAGGUGCGAAAGCGUGGGGAGCAAACAGG
rnacentral:rRNA from 1 species